rnacentral:rRNA from 1 species
UACGUACGGUGCAAGCGUUAAUCGGAAUUACUGGGCGUAAAGCGUGCGCAGGCGGUUUUGUAAGUCUGUCGUGAAAGCCCCGGGCUCAACCUGGGAAUUGCGUUGGAGACUGCAAGGCUAGAAUCUGGCAGAGGGGGGUAGAAUUCCACGUGUAGCAGUGAAAUGCGUAGAGAUGUGGAGGAACACCGAUGGCGAAGGCAGCCCCCUGGGUCAAGAUUGACGCUCAUGCACGAAAGCGUGGGGAGCAAACAGG